GUUGAACGCUAGCGGCAGGCCUAACACAUGCAAGUCGAGGGGCAGCACAGAAACAGCAAUGUUUUGGUGGCGGCCGGCGGACGGGUGCGUAACGCGUAUGCAACCUACCUUUAACAGGGGGAUAACGGAGAGAAAUUCCCACUAAUACCCCAUAACAUCGAUCAAGGCAUCUUGAUUGGUUGAAAACUCCGGUGGUUAAAGAUGGGCAUGCGUUGUAUUAGGUAGUUGGUGAGGUAAUGGCUCACCAAGCCUACGAUACAUAGGGGGACUGAGAGGUUAGCCCCCCACACUGGUACUGAGACACGGACCAGACUCCUACGGGAGGCAGCAGUGAGGAAUAUUGGUCAAUGGGGGCAACCCUGAACCAGCCAUGCCGCGUGCAGGAAGAUGGCUCUAUGAGUUGUAAACUGCUUUUAAACAGGGAUAAAGCACAGUAUGUAUACUGUGUUGAAGGUACUGUAAGAAUAAGGAUCGGCUAACUCCGUGCCAGCCGCCGCCGUAA
rnacentral:rRNA from 1 species